GAUGAACGCUGGCGGCGUGCCUAAUACAUGCAAGUCGAGCGAACAGACGAGGAGCUUGCUCCUCUGACGUUAGCGGCGCACGGGUGAGUAACACGUGUAUACCCUACCUAUAAUACUGGGAUAUCUUCGGGAAACCGGCGCUAAUACCGGAUAAUCUCUUGAACCGCAUGGUUCAAUAGUGAAAGUCGGUUUUGCUGUCACUUCUCGCUGGUUCCGCGCCGCAUUAGCUAGUUGGUACGGUAACGGCUUAUCACGGCGACGAUGCGUAGCCGAGCUGAGAGGGUGAUCGGCGACACUGGAACUGAGACACGGUCCAGACUCCUACGGGAGGCAGCAGUAGGGAAUCGGCCGCAGUGGGCGAAAGCCUGACGGAGCAACGCCGCGUGAGUGAUGAAGGUCUUCGGAUCGUAAUACUCUGUUAUUAGGUAUGAACAAAUUUGUAAGGAACUGUGCACGGCUUGACGGUACUUAAUCAGAAAGCCACGGCUAACUACGUG
rnacentral:rRNA from 1 species